GGAGAUUCAGCCAUUGAACCAUACUUGGUGGCACACCACCUUCCUUCUUGCUCAUGGAGCAGCUGUAGAAUUGUACAAGAAUAGAUAUCAGGCAACUCAAAAAGGCUUGAUAGGGAUAACAUUGGUGUCAGACUGGUUUGAGCCUGCUUCGGAUUCAAAG